rnacentral:rRNA from 1 species
GACAGAGGGUGCAAACGUUGUUCGGAAUUACUGGGCGUAAAGCGCGUGUAGGCGGCUAAGUAAGUCGGGCGUGAAAUCCCACGGCUCAACCGUGGAAGUGCACUCGAAACUGCAUAGCUAGAGUCCUGGAGAGGAAGGUGGAAUGCUUGGUGUAGAGGUGAAAUUCGUAGAUAUCAAGCGGAACACCGGUGGCGAAGGCGGGUCUCUGGGCCGAUACUGACGCUGAGGAGCGAAAGCGUGGGGAGCGAACAGG